UUUGGGCUAUGAAAUUCGCUGAUUGUGAGCAAAGUCGAACUGAGAUUCGAGGAUUUUGGGAAAGGUGGCGGGGGUCUUUUGGAUUUGGAUUCGGAUUCGACUUUCCGUUGUUGAUGAUUUGAGUGGGAACGUUCAUAUUCGAUGGAAUGGGGUCGAGGAUAGGAGUGAAAAUAAAUAAAGAGGUCAAUUUCCCAUGUUCGACUUUGUUUUGCUUAUAUCCGCCAAUCCUUGGUUGACAUAUAUUUCACUCAACUUUCCCAAAUAUUUAGGGGGUGUUAAUGUGUGAUUUUUCACACAAAAAGAUUGAUUUUUUUUUUUAACUUUAUUUUACUUUUUCAAUCGUAAUUUUUGACUUUUUUUUUCUUUCAAGUGACCCCUACUUUUCUUCUAACAUUCAAAAAAUAAUUUUUAAAAUCCCUACCAAACAGGGACUAACUAGAUUAUGUUAGUAGCUCGUUGAUACUUGAACUAGUGAAGUGAAAAAUAAUUAGACAUAAAUAGAGAGGAAGUUAUGUAAAAAAUAAUAAUAAUAAUAAUUAAUAUGGACGAUGUUUCGAACCACUUGGCAAUCGCAUUUUUACAUUAGACCUAUUAUUGUCUUUCCUUAAAUUUUAAUUGAAACAAUCUCAUUAUUCAUGUGGUUUUUUAUUUCAGGUUAAGGUGUAAUGAUUAUGAUGGUUAAUGAGAAUGACGCUAUCGAGGUCUAAAAUAAAUCUUGAGUAAUCCUUUGUCUCAUGACAAUUCGUCCUUGCAUCAAUAACUCGAGCUCGAAUGCUUUUUACUUCGGUAGAAGGCUGGGGCGAAUAGAGGGAGCAGCCCAUUUAUUUUUCAGGCCAAAAAAAAAAUGAUAUUCCUACUGCUAAAACUGAAAAGUCUAACAUUAUAACUCACCUGCAGUAAAAUCUCUUUCCCACCGCUAAUACCCACUGCAAAUUGAAUGAAACCACAUUGUUAGUCAGCAUUUAUACAUAUCAAAUACAUCAAUAGCUAAAAGAUUUAAUGUCAAACUAAAAAUUAGUACCACAGAAGAUAGGUCUCGACCAAAGAAAAAAUAGAAACGACAAUGUAACACAAACUACUUCUUCUAUCAUAUUUGAAGUCAUUGAUAGAUAUGGUAUUUAUUCUUUACUAAGAGCAAAAAGUGGGCUGAUGAUAAAUGUAGGAGGGUAAAAGGCAUUAUAUAUUUAUUUUCCAUUCUCUGGCCGAGCUCUUCAUAACUCACAAGUUGUUAAUCAUAGAUAGGCUUUCCUGCCAACCCAUUGGCAUCAUAUCACACCUAGGCACUCGUGAAGCUUCAAUAAAAUUAUAUCAUUGACCAACAAAUAAAAGUAACAAAGAUAAAGCACAAAGAGUAAAUGGAUAGCAUCUAAAAAUAAAACUGCCACAUGAUUAUCAAAAGAUCAAAAGAAAUAUAAAAAAGGAAGGGGGGAAAAUACCAGAAUUAGUCUUCUGCUGAUCAAACUCCUGCAUUCAAUAAUAGAUGAUAAGAGACACUCCAAUCUUAUCCUAAAUGCGAAUACUCAAAUCAGCAAGUAUGUCGUUCAGCUUUCUUUACACUUUUCUACUGAUAUAAUAAAAUCAAUAGAUAGAGAUCAGAUUAGGAUGCCUACAUUGCUCGUGUAACUCAUGAUGGAUCAACUGGAGGUUUCCAAAUAUCUGACAGUAGAACGGAUGAAUUGGAGAGCGAAUAAAUUCCUGCAUCCACCUUAAACUCAUUAUUCACAGUUUCACUCCAUUUGUAGAAGCAUUACAAAAGAAGAAUAUAACAUUAUGUCCUUCUUAGAGACAUGGAAAAUGACCCCUGAAGUUUGAUUUGGAAACACUUGAAUUCUAUUUUGAAUUGGUUUUACCAUAAUUCCAUGCUGCCAAACACUAUACUUUCAUAAAUUACUCACGUCUAAGUACUAUGGUGUGCCAAUUUCAAAAAUAACAAAAUUUACUUAAGUUUGCAAAGACUAUAAACAUGAUUGAAUCCACACGUAUCCAGGAUAAGGUUGACGUUGUUGUUGUUGCCGUAGCAAUGGACUAUAAUAUAAUUAACAUUGUAUAGACGCUAUAGUUUCUUCGCGUCAAACAGACAGUUAAAAAGAACUAUCUUUUCACUAGUUAAAAAGACACUGAACAAUAAUACAAAUGCAAAACACUCAGAAUUUCCAAAAGCAAUCGCUUGAACUAAAAUAUCAAAGUUUAGCUUAUCAAAAUAUAAGUACCAAUAGAACUCCGAACCUUAAAAAAUAAAUAAAUAAAUAAAAAUCAGUAUUAAAGAAGAAAAACUAACCCGAAUUGCAGGCUCCUGAAAUAGUAAAGUCCAGCUUAAUUCAAACCUUAAAACUGAUGAUCCUUAUAUAUACAUAGAGUACAAAAAAUCUGAAAAGUGUUAAAAUUUCAUCGAUGGAACAUUAAAUUUCCUACCAUAAGAAAGAAAAAAGAAGGAAUCAUAAAAGUACGGUGUAAAAUUAUUGCCAGCAAGCAGAAUAUAAUUCGUUUGAUAAUCAAAAGAAAAAAUCUUCGGUUCAGAAAUUCGCUGACAGUGAUCGAAGGGAAAUGAAAUUGAGAAUAUAAUUCGUUAAUAAUAAAAAGCAAACUUUUUGGACUAUGAAAUUCGCUGAUUGUGAGCAAAGUGGAACUGAGAUUCGAGGAUUUUGGGAAAGGUGGCGGGGGUCUUUUGGAUUUGGAUUCGGAUUCGACUUUCCGUUGUUGAUGAUUUGAGUGGGAACGUUCAUAUUCGAUGGAAUGGGGUCGAUGAUGGUAGUGAAAAUAAAUAAAGAGGUCAAUUUCCCAUGUUCG
rnacentral:lncRNA from 1 species